UUAAACCUCUUCCAGAGUAUCAAUUGGAGGGCAAGUCUGGUGCCAGCAGCCGCGGUAAUUCCAGCUCCAAUAGCGUAUAUUAAAAUUGUUGCAGUUAAAAAGCUCGUAGUUGAAUUUCUGCCGCCCCGCCUCUGCCCCUCGACGGGCGUUUGCGCCGCGGCUUUUUCGGAUUAUGCUUGCAUUUUCCGAGUGUUACUUUGAGAAAAUUAGAGUGCUCAAAGCAGGCUUUUGCCUUGAAUAGUUUAGCAUGGAAUAAUAGAGUAGGACUUUGGUUCUAUUUUGUUGGUUUUAGGUACCAAAGUAAUGGUUAAUAGGAACAGUUGGGGGCAUUCGUAUUUAACUGUCAGAGGUGAAAUUCUUAGAUUUGUUAAAGACGAACUACUGCGAAAGCAUUUGCCAAGGAUGUUUUCAUUAAUCAAGAACGAAAGUUAGGGGAUCGAAGACGAUCAGAUACCGUCGUAGUCCUAACCAUAAACUAUGCCGACUAGAGAUUGGAGGUCGUCAGUUUUUACGACUCCUUCAGCACCUUGAGAGAAAUCAAAAUCUUUGGGUUCUGGGGGGAGUAUGGUCGCAAGGCUGA
rnacentral:rRNA from 1 species